UGAGAUAUAGCUUAUAAGAGAAGUUCUUCACUAACAACAAAAGCAGUGUAACUAUAUGGACAAAGAGUGACUAGAUAGUAUCUGAAACUGAUUGUAAAAUUACUGAAAUGUCUAUAAUCAUUUGGUUUCUUUACUUCUUCAAAUGAUGAUACACAAUACUUACUUGAACUUAGGAGUACCUUUUUCAAAUCACUCUCGGCCUAGCCGAAUAUCAAUAUUUGGAGAAGGAGACUUGAAAAAAAAAUAAAAAAUUACUGACACAUCAACAGUACAACUAGUUCUAGGUAAUAUUUAGCUCCUCUUUGUGUAUAAAGAUUCAAGCAGAACCAUCUCUUGCAUGGUGAUGAUGGUGCAUUAGAAUUCAGAAAAAAAAGAAAGAGAAGGCUUGCCUCAUUGAGGGGUGACACUGAGAAGGAUCUUGAGAUUAGACUUCUUGUUGAAGAGAAGGGAAAAGUGAGUCCUGAUCCAGUUCCAGUUUCUCCAUGAUUGAAGGCAUUUCUUUGAGUUGUUGUUUCCUUCAUUUUCUUCAUUGAUGGGUUCUUCAGAUAACGGUGCAAGUCUACCCAUCCCAGUUUCUUGUGGUUGUUGAAACGUG
rnacentral:lncRNA from 1 species